rnacentral:rRNA from 1 species
GGAUGAACGCUGGCGGCGUGCUUAAUACAUGCAAGUCGAGCGAAUGGAUUAAGAGCUUGCUCUUAUGAGUUAGCGGCGGACGGGUGAGUAACACGUGGGUAACCUACCCAUAAGACUGGGAUAACUCCGGGAGACCGGGGCUAAUACCGGAUAAUAUUUUGAACUGCAUAGUUCGAAAUUGAAAGGCGGCUUCGGCUGUCACUUAUGGAUGGACCCGCGUCGCAUUAGCUAGUUGGUGAGGUAACGGCUCACCAAGGCGACGAUGCGUAGCCGACCUGAGAGGGUGAUCGGCCACACUGGGACUGAGACACGGCCCAGACUCCUACGGGAGGCAGCAGUAGGGAAUCUUCCGCAAUGGACGAAAGUCUGACGGAGCAACGCCGCGUGAGUGAUGAAGGCUUUCGGGUCGUAAAACUCUGUUGUUAGGGAAGAACAAGUGCUAGUUGAAUAAGCUGGCACCUUGACGGUACCUAACCAGAAAGCCACGGCUAACUA